CCCUCACGCCGCCGCCGUCCCCCGCACCCCCGCCCCUCCCCAGAGUUUCUCGAUCCAGCCCCGCCCCCUUCACGCCCUCGCCGCCACCACUGACAGCGCCCGACCCUCCCCUCGAUCUCAGAUCGCAUCGAGCUCCCCCCUCUCCCUCCCACUUCUUGAAGCUCCCACGUCCCACCGUCGAACUCGGGCAGCCGAGCGGCAGGGGCGUCCCCAGCGCCGUCGAUCUCGGCCAUGGCCUGCAGCCAGUAGGCGCAAGUCCAGUGGCCCGACCGCCCGCCCCCACGCGCGAGCCUCGCGGAAUCGACCCCCCUCCGUCCGUGACAUGUUACGGUGGAGAGUUCCCCUUCCCCGUGGCGGCAGGUGCUGGUGGCGGUUGCGCCAUGGCGCUCGUCUCCCGGCCUGCUCCGACGCGGCGCAGGCCGCCGCAGACCUUGCCGGAGCCGCCGUGGGACGAGACGCCGAGCUCGAGCUCGGAAGCGUCAGAGCCACCGAUUCCUGAAGACCCGAGGCUGCAGGAGAUCCGAUCGGAGCUGCUUGAUUCCCCGACGAUGCUGGAGCAGUUGGUGUUGUCCAUCCCGGAGUCCUCCGCAUUCGUGGUCCGCCUGCUCGUAGAGGGGGACGAGCACGACCACAUACGCCAGAGCGUGCUCGGCGGGUUCGUGCACCCCGUGCGGGAGAUCAUGGGGAACAAGCAGGAGCAUGCGGUGUUCCAAGCGCUGCUGCGCUUCUCCCAGUGGCGGCAGGAGGAGCUCAGCCGCAUCGUGGACGCCGCCUGGAGCCCAACCUCGUCUUGAGGACCAAUGACGGUUGGAGUGACUUAAUCGAGCGCUACGAGGGCAUAAAUCAUGGUGAAUAUCAGAAACUGUUGGCGGAUAUCGCAAGGUUGAGGCAUGAGCGUGACCACCUGGAGGCCAGCGUGAGGAGGUAGACAAGAGAAGACCUGCCGUCCGGCGCAACCGCGGCAGAGCUCCGCAGUCUGGAGCACAAGCUAGAGUGCGCGCUGGGUAAAGUCCGUGAAACGAAGGAUAACUGAUGGAGAAACAGCUGGAUGAAUCACACCACAGGGUGCACAUCCUGGAGGAGCAGAACAGCUUCCUUGGCCACAUGAUUUUGAAGGUAUUGAAGCACAACCUUUGUACCCAACCUGCAAAAUGCUAGUAUAAGAUUCUUAGAUAAGGAGGGCUCCAGGCGCUCAAACAAUUUCAACUACAAGCAGAUAUUUUGCCUAAAUUCAAGACGAAAGAAGAUGUUCAAAGAAGCGCCAAGACAUUUUUGUAUAGCAAGUUAUGUAAUAAUAGUUGGGUUAUCUGGGCAUUGUGAACUCCAGAAUUUCAUAUAUCUUCUCUCUGUUUUGGAAUGAAAUGUUGUAUGUUUUAGAAUUACAAUUUUUUGUUUCAUAUGAAAUAGUAAUUAUGUAUGUGAUUUGAAAAUGUGUGCAAUGGAAACAUGACUCAGGUGACCCA